AUAUUUAUCAAUUGAAUAAAGUCUGUUUUGAAAAAAAAAUAAAAAAAAAUGGUUCUCCCAGGACGAGGCUCUCCCAUUGGACUUCGGGUGCGAUGUCCCCAAAUGUGGGAUACUCGACUGCAAAAUUUGUGGUAGUGGGGGACUGCGUUCGCGCUCUCCCCUG